CGGCAGCCAUGCCGCGUGUGUGAAGAAGGCCUUCGGGUUGUAAAGCACUUUCAGUAGGGAGGAAGGUAGUGUAGUUAACACCUGCAUUAUUUGACGUUACCUACAGAAGAAGCACCGGCUAACUCCGUGCCAGCAGCCGCGGUAAUACGGAGGGUGCGAGCGUUAAUCGGAAUUACUGGGCGUAAAGCGCAUGCAGGCGGCCUGUUAAGUCAGAUGUGAAAGCCCGGGGCUUAACCUCGGAAUUGCAUUUGAAACUGGCAGGCUAGAGUCUUGUAGAGGGGGGUAGGAAUUUCAGGUGUAGCGGUGAAAUGCGUAGAGAUCUGAAGGAAUACCAGUGGCGAAGGCGGCCCCCUGGACAAAGACUGACGCUCAGAUGCGAAAGCGUGGGGAGCAAACAGGAUUAGAUACCCUGGUAG
rnacentral:rRNA from 1 species